rnacentral:rRNA from 1 species
AAGUAUUAAAGGUCCCGCCUGCCCAGUGAAAACUUUAAACGGCCGCGGUAUUCUAACCGUGCAAAGGUAGCGUAAUCACUUGUCUCCUAAAUAGAGACCAGUAUGAACGGCUAAAUGAGGACAAACCUGUCUCUUAUAACCAAUCAGUGAAACUGAUCUCCCAGUACAAAAGCUGGUAUAAACACAUAAGACGAGAAGACCCCGUGGAGCUUAAAAUGAACCACUAACCACAACAUGGCCCUAGUGUAGAAUUUUAAGUUGGGGCGACUUCGGAAAAAAACAAAACUUCCGAGCACAGAGCAACCCACUCUAGCCAAGGCCAACAAGCCUAAGUACUAAACUGACCCGGCCCAUGCCGAUCAACGAACCAAGUUACCCCGGGGAUAACAGCGCUAUCUUCUUCAAGAGUCCCUAUCAACAAGAAGGUUUACGACCUCGAUGUUGGAUCAGGACACCCAAAUGGUGCAGCCGCUAUUAAAGGUUCGUUUGUUCAACGAUUAACAGUCCUACGUGAUCUGAGUUCAGACCGGAG